CAUUGAAAUGGGUUCCAGAGACCAUCACCACAACCGUUCUCACUAAAGAGAAGGAGACAUUGGAAGGGGUCCAACCACAACAGGCUGCUACAUCCACGGAUGCUCCACAGCCAGCUGCUAAACCUGAGGUAGCUACUACAAA